rnacentral:rRNA from 1 species
UGGGGAACAUUGGACAAUGGACCGAGAGUCUGAUCCAGCAAUUCUGUGUGCACGAUGAAGUUUUUCGGAAUGUAAAGUGCUUUCAGUUGGGAAGAAAGAAAUGACGGUACCAACAGAAGAAGUGACGGCUAAAUACGUGCCAGCAGCCGCGGUAAUACGUAUGUCACGAGCGUUAUCCGGAUUUAUUGGGCGUAAAGCGCGUCUAGGUGGUUAUGUAAGUCUGAUGUGAAAAUGCAGGGCUCAACUCUGUAUUGCGUUGGAAACUGUGUAACUAGAGUACUGGAGAGGUAAGCGGAACUACAAGUGUAGAGGUGAAAUUCGUAGAUAUUUGUAGGAAUGCCGAUGGGGAAGCCAGCUUACUGGACAGAUACUGACGCUAAAGCGCGAAAGCGUGGGUAGCAAACAGGAUUAGAUACCCUGGUAGUCCACGCUGUAAACGAUGAUUACUAGGUGUUGGGGGUCGAACCUCAGCGCCCAAGCAAACGCGAUAAGUAAUCCGCCUGGGGAGUACGUACGCAAGUAUG